AAAUUUAACAAAAAAAAUCACUCCUCAAUAGUGGACAGAAAAAAAAAAUCAUCGAACAUGGAAUUGAAGAAUUUUGUUUUUGCAAAAUUCAUAUUUCAACAUAUGAAAAAAAACCGAUCAAUCACCACCAACUUCAUAUUCUAUGGAUUAACUCGAGCAAGCUGAUUUUUUUCCUUCUCUUGUAAAAUCAUAUUUCCGGAAAACCACAAUUGGAAAAUUGAUGUCCGUAUGAAGUGGAGAGAAAGAAAAAAAAUAACAGAGAAGAAAG
rnacentral:lncRNA from 1 species